GCAGGCACAUGUUUUGACAACAUACUCACCAAGUCCAACCUGUCUCUUCUUUUGCUUCCCCGUGUAUAUGUCAAAUUUGUGGAAAUAGCCGUUAGCACUAUCUGCCAAUACCCAUACCUUGAUCCCCCGUUUGAUCAGUUUCAUAGGCAUAUUAUAUUGCUUUAAGGAAGACUGCCCCUGAAACUUAAUCAUUGCUUCGUCCACUGCUACAUUCUGUGUAGGGUUGUACAAAGCUUCGAACCUCUCACCCAGGUGCUCAAUGAGGGGGCGGAUCUUCCCUAACCGAUUGUACGAGGGGUCACCUCGUGGAACAAGAUGGUCGUUGUCCACGAAGUGCAGAUACUGGGAGAUAUCACGGAAUCUCUGCCUUGAGAUUACAUCGGCGAUGGGUGCAUAGUGGUCUCGGCUCCAAUAGUCAUUGAUCGAUGGCAGGUGAUUGAGUCCCAUGAGGAUGGAGAAUCCGAAGAAGGCCCAGAGCUCUUAAACUGUGUGUUGAGUCCACGUUCGGUAUGCCUCCUCUCCCAUUACAUGUCUAGUGUAGUUGUUGCUCUCACACACAAUGUGUCCCUGCAGACCAUUGUUAAAAAAUAGCAGAAACACUUCUUCUGGCCUCUCUGAGAUGUCCACUGUUGGUCCUACUGCUGACUCAAAUGACUUGAUAGUCAGGGUGUGCAAUUCACUCCUCCAGGAUUGCUGCCUGUUGAUGGGGGCUCCAUUUCUACAUGUUCCUCAUCAUUCAAGAUGUCUUGUAGAACCUCCUCCGUGGUCCAGUGUGGCCUCUUGGCCAUGCCUGCAGCUCUAUAUUAUUAUUAAAAAUGUUUGUUCAUGUUAUAAAUAUUUUGUGUUUGUUGGGUGGUAUAAAAACAACAGUAGUAUUCAAGGGUCUGUAUCAAAAAAAUUUCUGUAUGAUAUAAGCUUUUUACUUUAUAUGGGUACCUUGACGGUGGAUAGAAUAAGAAGGCGUCCUAGCUUCAGUCCAGCAGCAGCCCCACCCAGAUUCUUUAGCAGCCAAGAGAAGCAGGACUGCUGCAGCUGACACCUAUUGGUAGAGAUGUCAGACUGAAAGUAGUGAGUGGGAGUAUUUUCAUACUGGUAGAGAUGUCAGACCGGAAGUAGUGCGUGGGGGUAUUUUCGUACAGUAAUUCAAUGGUAAAAAACGGGACCAGAAAGUGAGUGAACAAGAAGGGCUUUCCGCAAGCCCUGGAAGAGUCUAGCAAACAACAGCUGUUCCCAGGGGUAAAAAAUAGUGUAGAAUUUGAUUUUUAUAACAGUUUUUUAUGAUUUUAGCAUUUGAUGCUUGUUUUGUGUGUGAUUUUUUCUCAAAGGUGAUCAUCAUUUUGGCAACCAAACAUGAAAAUGAACAAAAACACAAGUGAGCAUGUCUUUCAUCUCGAACUCUCUCCAGAUUAUGCAAAAAGUUGCUACAAUAAGCUUUUAUUUCUUGCGGAAUCACAUAUUGCAUGGAUAGAUGGGUGGAGCUGAGAAUAGAAAUGCAGUAAAAUCAAGCCAAGUGUACCAAUAGCUGUAUUUAUUUCUUAGAAGUUCUUAUAAGUUACUGAAAGUAAUUAUUGAAGCAAUCUGAAAGCCUCUGUUGAAAAGAAACAAGAAAGAUUGGAGAGAAUUCCAGGGACAACAAUGUAAUCUACCAAAACUAUUAAAUUGCAAGAACUGAUUCAAUUUGCACACAAAAAAGACAAGAGUAAUCUACUGUAUUAAUUAGAAGCUGUCAACAGAGUUGUAUCAUAGAUUUAUAGUUGUAUGGCCUUAAAUCUACAUCACACUAAAAACGAAUUAUUUAGACCAAAUGAAAUUGACAGAAAAAUUGCUUAUAAAGAUCAAGAAACAGAUAUACAUUACAGAAACAUUAUAAACUUCAUAAUAGAUAUCAAAUGGUUACAAUGUUGAGUCCUGAGUGUCCAUUUCAUACUUUUUUAAAAGAGAAUAGACCAAGCGGUUCAGCAGAUAUGCUAACUUUAAGAUCAUUUCCGGUAUUAACAACAAAUUUCAUAAGUCCCGCCCAAGUACAUUAAAAUGCGGUAAAUUUUUGUACGAAUUUUUCCCUGACUAGUGUUCUUCAAAACUCUGUAUCUCUGCAUUCGCUUGACCAAAUCCAGUGCAGUAAAGUUUUUCUGGUUUGCCUAGAGUGUUCAAAAGAGAUAUUAAUACAUAGGAGUUAGAAAUAGCAAAAAUGAAAAUCGGUCUGACAUUGCUAUCAAUGGUAAGAAACGGGACCAGAAAGUGAGUGAACAAGAAGGGCUUUCCACAGCAAGCCCUGGAAAAGUCUAGCAAACAACAGCUGUUCCCAGGGGUAAAAAUAGUCUCAUGAAUCAGAAGAACGGCGGCUGAUUCAUGAGACUAGGGUAAAUAUAGCAUAGAAUUUAAUUUUUAGAACAGUUUUUUAUGAUUUUAGCAUUUGGUGUUUGUUUUGUGUGUGAUUUUUUCUCAAAGGUGAUCAUCAUUUUGGCAACUAAAUAUUGUGCAAGGAAACUAAACCUUCUGUCGAUGAUUUGAUUGUGGUUGCGAAAUUUUGUUGCACAGUCUGGAGAUUGGUGAUGAUGUGUGAUUUGAUUAUAAUGAUUUGUCUGGUCAGGAGUGCAUUCAUUCCUGGUCUGGUAUUAUGAUGAUAAUAAUGAUCUGUUGAAUUGAUUUGUUGUUGUGGGAAUUUCUCAUCUCUUCUCUGCACAGCACAAACAGCUAUGGGUGUAAUUUUGUUGUCUGGUGUUAUAAUUAUGUAUUGUGUGUGUAUUGAUAAUACUAGGCUGAUGGUUGUCAGCUGUGGUGGUGAUUGGCUGGUAUUGUAUUGUGUGGAGUGGAUGGUUUUGUUUGAACUGCUGCUCUCAAUGUAACCAUGCAUUUGCUUGUUCUCUUGCAGCCACAAUGCACACACACAGCUCCUCCUACUAGCUACUGUACUAUAGCUAGUGUUCCAUUCUCUCACUGCUUUUGUCUCCUCUCUCCUCCAGGUACGUACGUACAGACAAGCCAUGCUGCUAGAUCUGGGACCCAGGGAGGAUUACUAACCUCAUCACUGUAUUGAUAAUACUAGGCUGAUGGUUGUCAGCUGUGGUGGUGAUUGGCUGGUAUUGUAUUGUGUGGAGUGGAUGGUUUUGUUUGAACUGCUGCUCUCAAUGUAACCAUGCAUUUGCUUGUUCUCUUGCAGCCACAAUGCACACACACAGCUCCUCCUACUAGCUACUGUACUAUAGCUAGUGUUCCAUUCUCUCACUGCUUUUGUCUCCUCUCUCCUCCAGGUAUAUACAGACAAGCCAUGCUGCUCUGGGACCCAGGGAGGAUUACUAACCUCAUCACUGUAUAAUGUAUUGCAGGUACUGAAGGGGGAGGGGCUUGACUGGAGAUGUGGGGGAGGGGCUCAGAUCUCAACGCCCACUACUAUCAUUUAUAGUGUGUCUUGAUUGUUUUGUGUGCAGCUAUGGAGACAAUAAAGAUAAGUAUGGCUGGUUUCUAUGGUGUGUAGGUAGAUGUCUCUUCACAGCAAAAGAUAAGUAGUUCCAUUGUGUACAGUAUCUCUCAUGCUCUCUGUGUAGGUUGAUUGUGUGGAGGAGCCACUGUAACAGCAUACACACAGAUGAGUAGCUAGCUAUGUCGUGUGGCAUGUCUCUCAUGCUCUCUGUGUAGGUUGACGGUUGUGGAGGAGCCACAUACACACAGAUAAGUAGCUAGCUAUGUUGUGUGACAAGUCUCUCAUGCUCUCUGUGUAGGUUGAUGGUUGUGUAUAUAUGGAUGGACAAGGUGAUGGUUUGAUGGUCUGGCACUACCUAACACUAAAUGGCUGCUGUACUCGAUAUAUAAUUAAUACGAAACAACGUAACAUAAUUUAAAGUUUUGUAAGAACAAGAACAAUAGUAUAAUUAUAGUUGUGAAUAAUUAUGAUCUUAGAGAAUCGAAGUUGACAAAACAUUUAUUUAUCACAGUACUAUAAUUAUUGACAAAUCCUUG